AACGCGUUAUUUUGACAUUUCCAUUAUUAAUUAAACAAUCCUCUGGAAAAUGAAAAUAAUAAUAUGAGAGUCUACUAUAUAUUCACAAGUUGUAAUAAUCUAAUUAAAAUGACAAAAAAGUGAGCAAAGGGACAUUCCUUUAAUUGUACGAUAAUUCUCACAAAUAUGAAGGCACAUAUAAUUUCAUAUCUACUACUAUUUUUGUUCAUCCUUAGUGUGGAAGCAAGGUCCCUACCGCGAUUUUCCUACGAUGAAUUGUUUAAUUCUCAAGACAAGGUGGACGUAGCCGGAGGGCUAAACUAUUUGGAUAGGAGUAAGGGUGGAGGAAGAGUACCAACACCGCCACCACCAAAUCCUAAUUUGAGAAUUCAUUGGAAGCCACGACCAAAACCAUCACGGCGGCCACCACCACCACCAACAUCAUCAAAAAGUUAUCCACCAUGAUAUGAUUGGCCAAAUGCAACAUUUUAGACCGCGCUAUGUGGUAAUAUUAUGUUUAUGUUUGGAUUUGUCUAUAGUUGGAUCAAUCGUUUUUCUUUGUACUAUGUACUUAUAUUAUGUUUUUGCAUGAACGAUUUCUAUUUUGGGGUGAUCUUUAAUUUUUUUUGCCCUUAAUUUUUAUUUAAUAAAAAUUUAUGAGUCAAAGUACUCUUAACUA